rnacentral:rRNA from 1 species
GAUGAACGCUGGCGGCGUGCCUAAUACAUGCAAGUCGAGCGAACAGACGAGGAUCUUGCUCCUCUGACGUUAUCGGCGGACGUGUGAUUAACACGUGUAUAACCUACCUAUAAUUCUGGUAUAACUUCGGGAAACCGUAUCUAAUACCGUAUAAUAUAUUGAUCCGCAUGGUUCAUUAGUGAAAGACGGUUUUGCUGUCUCUUAUAGAUGGAUCCGCGCCGCAUUAGCUAGUUGGUAAGUUAACGGCUUACCAAGGCAACGAUGCGUAGACGACCUGAGAGGGUGAUCGGCCACACGGGAAGUGAGACACGGACCAGACUCCUACGGGAGGCAGCAGAAGGGAAUCUGCCGCAAUGGGCGAAAGCCUGACGGAGCAACGCCGCGUGAGUGAGGAAGGUCUUCGGAUCGUAAAACUCUGUUAGUAGGGAAGAACAAAUGUGGAAGUAAAUAUGCACGUAGUGACGGUACCGAAUCAGAAAGCAACGGCUAACUACGUG